GACGAACGCUGGCGGCGUGCUUAACACAUGCAAGUCGAACGGAAAGGCCGUGCUUGCUGGGUAAUCGAGUGGCGAACGGGUGGGUAAUGCGUGGGUGUUCUGCCUAGCACUUCGGGAUAAGUCCGGAAACCUGGGACUAAUUCCGGACCGGAGCCAUUUUUAGUGUGGUGGUUGGCACGUUUUUUCGGUGUAGGAUGAGCUUGCGGCCUAUCAGCUUUGUGGUGGGGUAAUGGCCUACCAAGGCGGCGACGGGUAGCCGGCCUGGGAGGGUGGACGGCAACAGUGAGACUGAGAUACAGCCCAGACUCCGACGGUAGGCAGCAGUGGGGAAUAUUGCACAAGGGGCGCAAGCCUUAUGCAGCGACGCCGCGUGGGGGAUGACGGCCUUCGGGUUGUAAACUCCUUUCGCUAUGGACGAAGCUUUUUGUGACGGUACCUAGAUAAGAAGCACCGGCUAACUACGUG
rnacentral:rRNA from 1 species